rnacentral:rRNA from 1 species
AUGGCCCUCUCCUCCUCCCCUUGGUUUCUCUUCUCUUGGCAAAAGGACGGAGGGCGUUCAACUCGGCACGGCGAGCCAUGGGUGACACCUUCCUUCCUCUCCAAAGCAAGGGAAGGGAAGGGAAGGAGAGGGGAGGCCCCAGAUCGAGGAGCAGAGCGAUGCCCAGAUCCGCAGCGGCACCUGCACCGGCGCGUCGUCGUCCAAGUGGUCCUCGAGGAAGGCCAUGGAUGGAUGGAACGAUCGAUGGAUGGGGGCGGAACCCUAGCCCCACACCCACCCAUGGAUGAUGACGGCGGUGGCCUUCUCUUGGUCGGGUGGGGAGCGAAGCUUGCGGUGGCCCUCGACGCCCGCGACGGGCUGCAGCACCUAGACUUCAAAGGCAGGCCAUCACAAUGGAAAUGGAAGGAUGAGCACCAUGGCGGGCGUGCAGGUUCAGGCACGGUUUACACAAACACGUCCUGUUUCAAUGGCUCAAACUGUUGGUCCUCCCAUGGCAAUGUUCCCUGCUGGUGUUCAUGGAGUUAG